AAGUACUUGCAAAGUCAGAGUGUGAUCGAGAUGGGAUUGACCACUCCAAGAGUUGGAGAAGAAUGAGUCGCUGUAUUUUAAUUUAGCAAAAUCUUGGCCAGGGUAAUCCAUCAGAUGGAUUUGAUAUUUUGAAAUACAAUGUGGACAACCUGAUCAGAGUUGAUAGUUGAACUCUGAGGUGUCCUAUGAUCAUUUUGGUCA
rnacentral:lncRNA from 1 species